UGUCGACAGGACCUCCUGGGGCUGUGUCACAGGUGCGCAACCUCAAAUUUAACAAAAUAAACUUUCUAAAUUAACUGAGACCUGUCUCAGAUUUUCAGAGUUCACAUUUUGGUAACCAUGGAGGGUUUCUGAGUGAAGAUGCCCUGACCCUUGAUAAAUCUCUUGUUGGUGCUUGGUACCAGCAUGAGCUAACUUUAUGGCCCAAACCAAUAGGACACCUGGCUGAGGUCUGGGAGCACCCCCUCGAGAGAAUCCCUGGUUUCCCAAAAUUUGGUCAAGACCUGAAGUUUAUUUUGCUUUAUAAUUCCUUUUUUUUCUUUUGGAGUUUUAGUUGCUUCCAACAAGGAAGGCAAAAUUUCCUGUUUCCGUGAUGAUCAAAGGCAGGUAACCCCUUUAUGGAGUUUGAGUUCACUCACAGCAAGAAAGAUGAGUUUGUUUUUUUGUUUUGUUUCUGGUUGUUUUUUCCCUGCUUCUAGGAUGGUAGAAAGCAGUCUUCAGCCUAAGACCCAUUCCUAGGGCUUUGACUCCUGGGUCUAUAAAGGACACCAAGUCCUGCUAAAUCUUAAACACUGACAGCAAUUAAAGCCUCAUAUUCAGGCCCAGUAGAAGAUGCCAAUCAAAAUAAACUGUAUUUCUGAGACACAGAGCCAGAAGUUAAAGCUAUUCAACUCCUCAAACCCAGGACUAUUGCAGAAGAGAGUCAAGGAAACUUUUCUUUUGAGCUAUCGAUAGCUUUCAACAAUUUAGUAUACUCCUAUGAAUGAAAUUUAGAACAUACUUGUUUCUCUCUAUCUGAUUUCUCCAGAAUUUGGAAACUAUUUGUGAGUAUUCGUAACUUAUGGCAGUACAGUUAUUUGCAUAAGUGCAAUAAGAAUCUGUUUUCAUUUAUAACAGGACACAAUUGGAGUAACUGGUUAUUUUACCAAGGCUUUGACUGGAAUGUUGUGCUUUCCUUUAAAGAAUCAAACUUGGCUUAUGGAGCCAAUAAAAGCCCCUCGGGAAAACUGGCCUCAUACCUUGUCUACACAGUCCCUGUACAGGGUUCCUGAUCUGUAGUAAGUAAAGAAUGUCACUUUCUAACAGGCCCAGUAAGCUCCAGUUUAUCUUGGAGCCUCAAGAGGAGAGGAAAUGCACCCAACUCAUAGGUAUUUGAUGGUACAAAUCCAUGGCUGGGCUCAGCUUUAAAAAAGUCUUAUCUGAGAUUCCUUGUAUGGAACAAAGUUCCAUCAAAGCCAAUUUAAAAGCCUAUUUAAAGAAAAAAAUAAUUAUUAUUGCUGCACUGUAUACAAAUAAUCAAGCUAAGUAUAAUAAAGCAAAUCAGCCCUACCAUGAUUUGUCUUUAGUAAAAAUGAGAAACUGGAGAGAGAUAAAAUUAUGUUUCAAAAAUUAUAGUGCACCUGUUGAUAGAGUCUAGUCUUGCCUAUUGUUUUUCAAUUUUUAUUGUUUUCUACAGUUUGGACUGAAUUAUAAUUUUUCUUGGCUACAAGUCUUCAAAACAAUGUUUUCAGUUUUUUUCCUUCCUUUUUCCCCCAUUUUUGCUAACUUGGAGUCACCAAACACUAAGCUGUGCUUCCAUAAAGCCCUGGGAGCUGAAGCUAGACAACUUAAACUUCAGAAGAAAGUAACAGCAACCUAUUUACAUACAUAAGCCACUUUCAUACCUGCCUACUAAUGUAUGGACUUCAGAAUAAUGUGGCCUAUAUCAAUUUUCCAGGAUUAUUCUUCUGUUUGUUGUUGUUUCUCUCCCUUCUUCCCCCUAUUUUCUCUUCAUAGGACAUGAGACUUCACAACCUGGUAAAAAUGAACUUUCCUAAUAACUCAGGACCUACCCGCCUGGGAAUUGAUCAUCCUAGCCAUGAGAGAUCAGACAAAACCUGAGACCAGAGACUCAUUUUCACCUAAAACACUUGCUCCAAAAGAUUUUUUUAAGUGGGGAAAUGUGGAAGGAGAAUAUAACUUUGGGGCCCCAAAAUUACUAAGUCAAAGGGAAAAGUCAAGCCGGGAACUUCUUAGGUAAAACCUGCCUCCCAUUGUAUUCAAAGUCACCCCUCUGCUCACUGAGAUAAAUACAUUUAUCUGAUUCCCUCAUUUGGAGAGGCUAAUCAGAAACUCAAAAAAAUGCAGCCAUUUGUCUCUUAUCUACCUACAACCUGGAAGCCCCCUCAUUGCUUAGAGUUGCCCCACCUUUGCCUCAAACUGUCUCACCUUUUCAGAAUGAACAAAUGUACAUCUUACACAUAUUGAUUGAUGUCUUAUGUCUCCCUGACAUUUAUAAAACCAAGCUGUGCCCCUACCACCUUGGACACUUGUCCUCAGGACCUCCUGAGGCUGUGGCAUGGGCAUGCAUCCUCACCUUGGCAAAAUAAACUUUCUAAACCAACUGAGACCUAUCUCAGAUUUUAGGGGAUCACAAUACCAAGCCAGGCACAUAUUACAUGGAACAAUCCAGGACCAAGAACCUUCGUUCUAAAUAUAGAGCUAAGAAAUUUUGUCUGAGGUGAGCACAUUCAAAGCAUAGAACCAUACAAAUAUCACAUGUGCUAAAAGCUGAAUGUGUGAUAAAGAAAGAAAAGAAUGAGAAUUCAGAGGUGAUUUUUGGAAAAGUUUAAAAUCAAAUUGGUGUAAAGACAAAAAAAUUGAGGCAGAAAUAUGUAUAAUAUGUUUGGAAACAAUUGUUUUAUUCCUUUCUAUCUCAGUAUCCAUGGAGGAGAGUGUGGAUGAUGAAGUUUGGAAAUGUGGUAAAGAUGAAAAGACUGAGUAGCAGUCUUAGAACUUCGGAUAGCACUCCGUGGGAAAAAGGGAAAACCACUGAUAAAUUUUAAGUAAAGUGGUUUCAAAGGCAAAGUACUACACAGAAAUAUUAAUCUAAAACAUAAUUUGCAGGAUAGAUUCAAAUGGGAAAAGCAAGAGGCAAGGAGACCAAUUAGGACAUGAAUUGUUCAGUGAGAUGGAGAAGAACACAGUCAAUUACAGCAAAUGUGGGAAUAGAAAGAAACAUGGGAAUUAGCAAGACCUCUGAAAGAAACAUUAAAAGACUUCAUAAAUAACUGAAUGAAGAAGGCUUUGGAAAAUAACUUAAAGGUGACAUACACCUGUCAGCAUAAGAAUGCUCUUUAUAUCUAGCUAAGUCUUGAAUGAAUUUUGUGAUGUAAACCUCCCUGUAACAUGUGGUAAUAGCCUCAAUAGCAGCCCCUUUCCUAUUACAAUGGCCCUAAUUACUAGAAAGCUUAUUCUGUUAGGCAAAAAUUUCACCCUAAUGUAACUUUUAUCCAUUGGUUCUAGGGUUGUUCUUAUAUCACUCUAACUCAUAGACUGGCAAUAUUUUUCCCCAAUAGAGCCAGAUAGUAAAUAUUGUAGGUUAUGCCGGUCAUAUGGUCACUGUCACAAUUACUCAACUCUGCUGGUAUUGCAUAAAAGCAGCCAUACACCAUAUAGAAGAUGAAUGGAUGUGACUGUAUUCCAAUAAAACUUUGUUUACAAAAUCAGAUGGCAGGCUAGUUUUGGCCCAAGGGCUACAGUUUGCUGACCCCUACUCUAGUUAAUUAUGAUGUUUAAUAUAUUUUAAUUGAAGACACACUUACCCCUCAAACUUCCUAUGAAAUAUUCUCUACUCCAGCCUAUAUAUGGCCAAGUCCUUCGACUAUUCCUGGUGAUAUAAUUUUGAAUCAUACCUUCAUACUUUUCAGCAAUGUGUUUAUAUAUUUUUAUACGGUGGCACUCACUUUAAUAAACCUCUUUUGGAAUGGUCAGAUAAGCAGAAUACGGUUGUUGGCCCCAUUUUUGUGAACACUAUAGUCUACUAACACAUUUCAAGACUCAGUUAAUAGCCACACUACCCUUUUGACUCAUGCAUCUGACUAAGAUCCCUCUCUGCACUUUGAGGAGGUGGGCUGCUAUGAAAGGUGCCACCUCUGCUCUCUGGGACUCUCAUUUUUGCAAAUUUUGCUCUGUGGGAACAAGGUGAGUAAAGGUUACCAUGUGCUUGGAGCUCUAAUAAAGCAGAUGAACUGCUCAGUGCCUAAUGGAUUGGCUCUUUACCCCCAAAAGCCCAGUUCUUAUUCUGUUUCAGAUCCUUGAUGUUUCCUAGUUCUGCUAAUUUCCUCAUUGUCCUGUGAGCUGGAAAGGUGCUAUGAAGAAGCAGUCAGUGCAACCAGAGCUCAGAUUAAUCCACAUUGGGCUGUGUUUAAACUGGUCUAAGGUAAAGGAGAAAUUUUUUGAGACAGGAGGAGUGCCAUUCCCAUCCCCUGGAAAUGAUGAACUCCCUGGAGAUUUAGCUCAACGAUGUCUGCUAUUGUAUAUUCAGUCUUUGGUUAAAGAGUGGGACUGAUAACUACCAAUGAUCCUUUGUUAUAUAUGCUUUUUUUUAACUUUGUGCCUUAGUAAAGACCCUCUGAAGAAUUGGUGCUGCUACUAAAAUCAGCCACUCUUUACCAAAUCACCCUUCAUAAUUGUAUCCAUUGCAUUUAUCACCAGGUGAACUACCUUAUUUGUUCGUUUAUUAAGGUACAUUCUUUCUCUCUCUGCAAUGUUCCUGAAACUGUGUUUGAAGCUAGAAGAUCAGUGGUAAAUAAAACCUAGACUUUGCCCUCCAGGAUCUAACCUUUUACUGGAGAAGCAAGAGAAACAUGAAUACAAUUAUAAUAUAUAAUUAUUACUAAGGCUCUUGGUAUUAAUGUAAUGUCCCUGUGCUUUUUGGCAUGAACUACUAUAUAAUAACUCCUCUAUAUUUACUAAUAAAUUGAACUAUGUCUAUCCCAAUUGUCAGUUGCUAGGUUACAAGCAUCCUAAAACUUGACUUAAAAACCUCUUUAUUUUGCUCCUGAACCUGUAAUUUGGGUGAGGCUCUGCCUCUGCUCCUUUUGGUAGCAACUGUGAGAGCUGGAAGGCUGGAAUCAAAUGAAGGUCUAUUCACUCGCAUCUAGGGAUUGAUGCUGACUAUUGACAGGGAUCUUGGCUGGAGCUGUUGGCAGGAAUGCCUAAAUGUGGCUUCUCCAUGUGAUCUCAUCCUACCUCACGACUAAUUUCAAAGCAGAAUAUCCCAAGACAGAUCUUGGCAGAAACAGUGGGGCCUUUUUUUAACCUAACCCUAUGGUCAUGCAGUGAACUGUGCUACCUUCUAUUCAUUAGGAGAAAGUCACUAAGGUCAGUUCAUAUUCCAGGGGAGAGGAAAUACUUUGUCAUUUUUAUAGGAAGAGUGUGCACAUGAUUAAAAUCACCAUAGUACUUCCUCUAUGUACCUCAAAUUACUUGCAUUACUUACAUUACUUCAACAUAAAGAAUAUCGUGUCCCCUCAAAAGGCCUCUCAAAAGUCUUUAGAGCAUGGGACUCAAGCUUGAGGAACAAGAUUUUAUCGCCUGUAUCGGGUCCAGGUUUGGAUGAGAUUCCUUGGAUGCAGUUACUUGAAUACAGUACCUCAAGUAGUUUCUCUUAAUCUGAAAACUUAUGAACUACAUACAAAAGUUAUCCAACCCCCUCAUAUACCCAACAUACAAUGGUAGGACAGGCAUAGGAUAACCACUAUAGACAUGCCCACUCAAAGAAAUAAAAGAGCAGAAGGCAUACAGUAGUCACUGGUCCAUAGCAAUACUGAAUUCCAGCAAGACACAUUGCCAUUUCUAAUUUCUGGGGACAGUUAUCAAAAAUUCUUCAUACUGCUCUCUAGGCUCUGGGCUCCAUCCCUUGAGUCAUGCUUCCUUUUAUGUAAAAUACGGCCAGUGCUUCCACCUGAGUACUUUUCUUAGUCCUUUUAUUGCCCAUAAUAUUUCAAGAGUUCAAGGGACUCAUUUUACUUUUUAACAUCUCUGUCCCUUUUAGUUCAAGCUGAUGCACUUUUCUUUUUUUUGAGACAGAGUCUCACUCUGUCACCAGGCUGGAUUGCAGUGGCGUGAUCUCGGCUCACUGCAACCUCCGCCUCCCAGGUUCAAGCAAUUCCCCUGCCUCAGCCUCGCAAUUAGCUGGGACUACAGUUAUGCACCACCACGCCCAGCUAAUUUUUUUUCUAUUUUAGUAGAGACGGGGUUUCAUCAUGUUGACCAGGAUGGUCUCAAUCUCCUGACAUCGUGAUCCACCCGCCUCAGCCUCCCAAAGUGCUGAGAUGACAGGCAUAAGCCAC
rnacentral:lncRNA from 1 species